GACAUAUCAGCCAGAAAGCCUAACGAAGCAUUAUAUCCAAGUGGAAGAGCUACCAGAACUGAUCUUUUAUGAUCAGGUCUGUUGUAUAUCUUUUUCCCCUUGUGCUGCAUCUCCUAAAACAGUAAAGCCACGAUAUCAGCUGGCUGGAUGAGAGUGUUCUAGAUUUUGCAUUGAUUUGGAACACCUAUCCAUUCAAAGCAUUGAUGGACACUAAUUUCAACUCAAGGAUCACUCCCAGCCCUUUGAAAUAUAUCUGUUGUAGCCAUUGAUUAGAAGUGAUGCAGUUGUGCCUAUGAUCACUGCCAUUCAUGUUCCUGCAACUUGCAACAUGGACAUUUCUCCAUCUCACUUAGAUGGAUCAUUAGUCUCCAUGGAUGAAUCUAUGUCAACUUCUGACACAGUGAGAACUCCUGAGAUCGAAUACAUAGAUGACCAUGAAUUGUGGACUUGGAAUCAGGGGAUAAAAUUGUCAACAUUGAUAAAUUAUGCGCUACAAUGGGCCUGUGAGGAAGGAGAGCAAGGGCAGUUGCCUGUCUUGGUAUUAAGCAGGAAGGAAACCGAUAAGAAAAAGAGGCCAGUUUUUGUCUUCCUGUAUGGUACAAACAAAUGUAAAGAGUGGUUACGGCCAUUACUAUAGGUGAUAUUCUGUUUUCUUAAAAGUACUCUCCAUACUACCAUCGAGCAGAAGCAAUGAACGACAAUUCUAUGUAUGAUGGGUACCUCGAGCCUCCGGAGGGUUGGGGGGCUCGGAGCACAUGCCUCGAGCGUCCCGGGACCUAAUGGAGUGAUGGAGCGUCUUUGUUGUAUUUUGAGCUUUGUUGUAGAUCGAUUAUAAAGGAUAGUAGAUUGGUUGCUUGUCUAAGUUAUAAAGGACAGUAGAUCGGUUACUUGUCUAAAUCUUUAGGUUGAGUUGGAUUAACUAGUUAGUUGAAUCAUCUAUAUUUUAGUCAAGCCUCUUUACAUCAUUGUUUUGAUGUUCUCUUGGGUAGAGUUGCCUAGGAGUGCCAACUUGAUGUGUGGGUGUAACAUAGUUGCUGCUUGUUUAUGCUCUUAUCUUUGAGAUCUGAGUUGGUGGCUAGACUUAGCCUUGUUGGAUUCUUGAAGUCUAGAUCUACUAGAGUUAGUUGGUUUAGUGGCAAUAGAGUUAUUGCUUAGUUUUUUUGCUUGUAGUAGAGUUGUUAAAACAAGGGGGAAUGGAUUAAAGUGUUUUUAAUUCCUAUGUUACAAACUAGAGUUUGUAAUCUAAAGCUUUGCUCUGCUUUGAGUGAAAUGGAGUUCGGUUGGAAAUUCUUCUGUGAGUAUAGGUUGUGGUUUUCUCCUCCCUUGAGCAAGAGAGUUUCCACGUAAAAAUAUCUUGUGUCUGAUUUACUUUGAACUAUUUAUUUUCUGCACUAUUACUUGUUGAGGGACUUGUCCAGUGAUUACUAGUGGACACAUCUAUUCUAUCAAUUAGUAUCCGAACUUGGGCUCUCUAUCUGGUUAACACCAAGAGAGAAUCCUGUAGAAAAGAUGGUUGCUCCACUACACUUGGAAGAGAGUCGAUUUAAUGGUAUAUUCUACAAUGGGCGUUCAAAUAGAUGAGAACAUGGCCUACCUCACUCGAAGAUUUCAAAAAGUCAUGAGAAAACAUAGAGGUCACAUGAAGAAAGGAAACCUUGACAAGGUUACAAACUCAAAUGACUUGUGUCACAAGUUUGGUAAAUCAAUUCACUUCAUCAGAGACUGGCACAAGGUUGAACACAAGGAAUAUGUCAAGUCUGGAGGAAACAAUGACAAAAGAAGGGACCAGGUCGCUAACAAGUCAAGCAAAAGAGAAAUGACUGAUUAUGUGGUGAAGUAAGCUCCAGCCAUCUGGGGAAAUACCUCAAGUAAUUCAAAUUAUUUUGAAUACCCUCAUGGUGCUUCCAUGUUCGUAGUAAAAGAAGACAAAUAAAUAUUUGAUUUUGUGUUCGCCUUUAUGGCAAAAUCGGAAGAGGAUGAUGAUAAUGAAGAGGUAACCCUAUUUGACUUCAAGCAAAAUGUGAAUAUUUUUAUACUAAUUGA